AAUGAACGCUGGCGGCGUGCCUAACACAUGCAAGUCGAACGAGAAAUCCCGGGCUUGCUCGGGAGUGUAAAGUGGCGCACGGGUGAGUAACGCGUGGGUAACCUGCCCUAGAGUGGGGUAUAACCAGCCGAACGGCUUGCUAAUCCCGCAUACGUUUUUGUAACAUAAGUUACAGAAGGAAAGAUGGCCUCUGCUUGCAAGCUAUCACUCUUGGAUGGGACCGCGUUAGAUUAGCUAGUUGGUAAGGUAACGGCUUACCAAGGCUUCGAUCUAUAGCUGGUUUGAGAGGACGACCAGCCACACUGGAACUGAGACACGGUCCAGACUCCUACGGGAGGCAGCAGUGGGGAAUUUUGGACAAUGGGCGAAACCCUGAUCCAGCCAUCCCGCGUGUGCGAUGAAGGCCUUCGGGUUGUAAAGCACUUUUGGCAGGAAAGAAACGGCGCGUGCUAAUACCAUGCGCAACUGACGGUACCUGCAGAAUAAGCACCGGCUAACUACGUGCCAGCCGCCGCGGUAACAC
rnacentral:rRNA from 1 species